UAAAGUAUAAUUGUUGGUAUCUAAAUAAUAGAAAAUGAUGCAGAAUUUGAAACGCAGAGCUCUGAGUAUUGCAGACAGAAACACUGAUGGUUAUCUCCACUCUUUAGGUCACUUCAACAUCCAAGUCAACAAUCCCACCUCAGGGUGCCCAUUCAGAAGCUCAUGUGACUGCAGAGUGCACACGUCCCUUGCCCUGUUCUCCAGUCCUGUCCUCAGCUCUCGGGAGCAACGUCAUCUGGAGCUUUGGGCCCGACCACACCCUCUGCUCCUGUCGCAAGUGGCCUGCAGCUGCUGGGACGGAGGAGGAGAGCAAGGCGCAGCCCCUGGCCGCUAGAAGCAGCAGAUCUCAGCGGCCACACCCCAGAUGAGGCAGAUCUGCAAACCGCACACUCAGACCGGACUUCUUCUCUUCGGUGUUGUCUCGCUCGUUGUCAUCGUGGUGCACAAACUCGUCCCCCUCGCUUUCUCCUUCCGUCCUGUCUGUGUCACUGUCAUCGGUGCUGUCAUCGUGCUUGUCUUGAUCCACGUCCUCAGGGUACCCGUCAUCUUCACUGGUGCUGGGAACAGCAUCGUCCUGACCACGCUGAGCAAGAUCAGGACCGUACAACAUGUCCUCGUCCCCCCUACGAGGAGGAAGAUCUAGAGCAAAGCCCACUUCACGGCCGUACAGCUGCAAGGCUUGGGGCGGAGGUGGGCCAGGGGGAGGACCAGGAGGUUUCCUGCUGGGGGGGUGGGUGGCAAACGUGGAACACCAUGUCCAAGAAGAGGAAGGAUGGAAGCUGCUCGAGUUGGCGGUCCGUAGGCUGAGGUUUUCUUAAGAACGGAGGGUGGCUGGGCACCAGGAAGUGGAAUGUCCUGGAUUAAGAUGUUGGAAGGAGCAUGCAGGAUAUCUGGCAAAGGAAGACUCUCUACUUCCACAUGCUGAGUGUUCUUGACAGCAUCAAAAUAUUGACUAAGUUGAGCCCUUUUCUGUUCAUAUUCUACUUCUAGCUUUCUCAAUUCUUUAUAAAUACCUGGAUGCUCUUUUUCAUAAAGUCGUAGGAUCCAUUCAAAGGUUUCACGAAGCUUUUUACGUUUGUCUUGGAGUACUUUGUCACUUAACUGUGGUUGUUGCACUGGGUUAAACUCCAUUUCAUCCAAUUUCUCCAUGUCCCGGAUAAUCUGUUUGGGAUCUUUCAUCUUCAAAACAGCAGCUCGAACCAUCAUGCCCUGUUUUUUGUUCUUCUUUAAUUCUCUCUCCUGGGCUUGGUCAGUAGUGUUCCUAAAUUUUCCACUCUUGGUGGAUGAUGUUGAUCACCGCCCCAUAUUGGCAAUCUAUAAUGGUUUACUUAUUCUUUAAAAAAAAAAAAGAAAAAAACGCUUCUGCUGGGCUCCCAGAACUGUCAGAUGCGGGGAGGGGACGAUUCCUGGACUCCUUUACUCCGGAGGGGCCUUCACCUCUCCUCCUCGGUCAAACACCCAGCCUCCGCCAUCUUGAAACCUCAUGCCCCUCACUUUUGGAGACUUUUGGAGGACAUUCUAGAUCCAAAUCACAACAGCAUGCAGAACCGAUAAGGCUU
rnacentral:lncRNA from 1 species